ensembl:lncRNA
UGAGUUACGUGCCACCAGCACAACCAGAGAGACUGGAAACUAAGGUCAGCCCCGUGAGCAAUGAGCCAUGCCUACGGGAUGGAGUCCCAAUAAAAACUCUCAACACCAAGGCUCGCCCGAGCUGCCCUGGUUGGCGACACUCCAUGCAUAUCGUCACAGCUUGAUCCCAGGAGACUAACGCUGUCCUGGCUCCACAGGGAGAGGACGAUGGAAGCUCCCUCUUGGGUACUUCUGGACUCUACUGUGGCCUCUUCUGUUAGCUUAUUUUAAUCUGUACUCUUUCCUUGUAAUAAACCAAAAACAUGAAUGUAACAACUUUCAGUGUUUCUGCGAGUCCUUCUAGUGAAUUAGCAAGCAUGAAGAUGGUUUUAAAAGUCCCCAAACUUGCAGUUGGUGUCAGAAGUGAAGGUGGUCCUCCCAACUGUGUGCCUUCUAACUUGGUGGUGGGCAAACUCUUGUGGAUAUCUAAAAGGCAUCUCAAACCUAAAGUCUCCGAAACAGGAAUCUUGAUCAGCCCUUCCAAAAAAAUAAACUAACAGUAUUUUUUAUAUCUUCAAAACAUGGUUUCUCCUUGCUCACUUCCAUCAAACCAGUGGAAGGAAAAUAGGCAUGGUGGAUUUUUACAGGUUAGGUUAGGAAAUCUCUGAGUGCCUGACACUGACAGAUCCUCACUAACACUUUUGAAUGAAUGCUUUUCUAUAGACGCUCUGAUUGACCAAACGUCGUCUGAACAGUGCCAGCCAGCCCUCCGGAUGAGAUCUCCAUGGAGCAAACACGCCCAUCUUUUCUCUGGGUCUGUUUUUCCUGGGAGAGCCCAUGCUCGCCUGCGCAUUGAGACUGAGACCCUCCAGCCUCUUUCAGGCAGGGCCUAAAGCUCUGCCUUGUCUGACUCUCCUUGUCUAGUUGCUGUUCUGGACCUGCUGGCGAACCCGGGAGUCCUUCCUGUUAAGACUUAAUUUUAUCUAAAUGACAGAGUUUCUCUCUGAGGGUCUAUUCAAUGACCUACUCUAUUGGUCCUCCCACCCAAAUUGGGUCAGUCCAUGAAUUGGUCCUCCCCACCCCACACAGAGAAUGGGAAGCAAAAUCCUGUUCUUUCAGCUCCUUCUGUCAGCCUUGCCCCACACAACAGGCAGACCCUGUCCUUGUUCAAGUAACUCCAGAGAGACCUGAACAGGCCCUGAGCCCACCUGUUCUUGGCAUCCAUGGCGAGUCUCAGAUUCCUAGGGCACUUGUUCUCCUGGAUGCUGCCUGGCAAGGCCGGUGCCCCACCACAGGCUCCUCCUCCACCUUUUCUACUGGUGCCAGUCACUGGGCUUUGCCUCAAACACACGGCUCUUUCACCUGCCAGCUGUGUGACGCAGGGCCUCAGUUUCCUCUUCUGUGAGAUGGACAUCACCUCAUUCGCAGGGCUGCUGUGAGGGUUAAAGAAAAUAAGAUGUGUCACUCACAGAGCCUGGCACGGAGCAGGACUCCAACGAGGCAAGUUCACAGCCUCAAAUGGCACACCCUUCGUGGGUUUGCCAGGUCCUUCAUGGUGCCAGCAUCCGGCACUGUGUGUGCUGAGGAUGGAGAGUUGACUGCCCCUCCCAGAGAGGUUCAGUGUUGGGCACGUCUCAACCAUCGUAUCAUGCACUCGCCACCUCAAACAGGAGCAGAGCCCUCACGCCCUCCAGGGAUGGGCUUAUGGUUUAUGAAAACGGCUAAAAACUAGGUUCUGUGAGCUCUCUGCCUGCACAAGGGUCAGGGGUCAGAGGUGAGAGCCAACCAGGGUGUGUAACAGACUGCCCACCCAGGAGUUCUUACUGAACUCUUCACCCCUCUGUCCUACAGGACCAACAUCAGGUUCCAAAAGCUUCCAUGGGGCAAGCAAGAGAACGUGCCAGCCACCCAAGACGUGGCCCUGCAGACAGGCCUGGACACAGCGUCCCCGGCAGAUGGUGGACCAUGCUGCAGGACCCGGAUGCUUCCAUUCGCUCACCACGAAGAGAGGCGAGCGGCUUCCAGACCUGCGCGCCCAUCAGGCACAGCUCGAAUGAAGCCAGGUCAGGACAGGAGCUGACAGCGGCCACCUCCCAUCCUCCCAUCUCCCACCCGCUCAGAGGCGUCCCUGCCCUGGGGAGCUGCCUUCCGGACAGCUGCAGAGAGAAGGCCUUCACAACGAUGGCUCAAAGAUGCUUCCUCCAGGAACAAAGGUAGCUGGGAAAGAAUGCAAGACAAAAAUCUUCUUUUCAUUGCAGCAUUUUUUUUCUUCUCCUGUAAAUUGUAUCUGAAAGGUCACUCUUCGCGGUCGACGGCUUUCUGAGGAACACACUUUCUUUCUGCUCCUCAGUCAUGGGGUCUGCUUGUCACAAGACAGAGAGGCUGACGCGGUGGCUGCUCCUAUAAAAUCUUAAAUUGCAACCACGUGAAUUGCUAUAAUACAACUUCCUGGGGCUCUGAGGUUCUGGCCUUUUUAGAAAUUGAAUUUAUUGGCCGCUCUGCUUUCAGAUGCCCCUUGCCGAUUCUGGCUUUUGAAAGGGGCCAUAAACCCUGAGUGCAAGGCUGGUUUUCUGCAGCCUCCCGAGAGGCGGUGAUCCUUGUUCAUCCAUCCAUAUGCUCAUGGUGUAUCCACCCACCCAUCCAUCCAUCCACUCGGACGCUCCUCUGUUCCCACAACAGCGAUGGGCUGAGGGCCAGGCUCUGUCCUGGAAAGUAGGGAGACAGCAGUAGAAGCACAGACGAGGUCCCCGGUCCCGUGGAACAGGCAUCUGGGGCGGGUAGAGACAAGUAAACCAGCAUAGCAGGAUAAUUUUUCAGGGAUGUUGCUACAACCUGGUUUAGAAAUAAGCGUCUUAUUCCCCCAAAGAGAUAAGGCUGGGUCUUCCUUUACCUGCUGGGUGAGGACAGGAAGAAGCUUUUGUUUUCAAAACUCUGGGCAAGCGGUACCACGCUGCCCACUUCAGGCCGCCCUUCAGCCCCUGUCCUCAGCCUAGCAAGGCUUUUAAAGACACAGCAUCUGGGCAGGCAGGAGGCUGGCGUCCCAUGUUGACGUUAACUGCUCCUGCUCUGCAGGUAGCUGGGGAGGUGCCUGUUGUCUGUGCCCAGUGAAGAGGAACUGGGCUGGCAGUCGCUUCAAUCUUGGCUGCAGGUUAGAAUCACUUGGAACUUUCGAAAGUCCCCAUGCCCAGACUACAUCCAGGUGAUUAAACUGGGAAAUCUGAGGUGAGAGCCGGUGGUCAGUAGUUUUUAAAUCUCUGCAGGUGAAUCCGAUGAGAACAGCUGAUCUGAGUGCUUUGCGGUGUUGAAUGUGGGGGACUGGAGGAGUGAGGCCCCAGCCCCUCGGGAUCAGCUGCAGGAGGUGACGGUUUGGGUGUCUGUCCCUGCUGGGAACCAGGACCUCAUCGCAGAGGCCUCCCCAGUGAAGCAGGGACAUGCUGGUGACUCAGCAAGGGAAAGGGCAGGGUGGCCACCAUGGAUCGUGACGGCCUCAUGGCGUUUCUGUAAGGACAGCCCAGAAGUGGCUGGACCUGGCUUCCUCAUGAGCUGAAUCUCAGAGCCGGCCUUUGUGUUAUUGAGAAAAGUCAGGAGAUGGUCACUUUCAUGCCUCGAGCGCCACAUAAGUAACUCAUCUUACAGGGUGACAAGUGCUGGGAGGGAGAGGCCCUGAGAGAGGGUCACCGAGCAGGCGAGUCCUUCCCUCCCUUUACUGCACCUGUCAGCCACCCACACCUGCCCUGCCAGGUCACAGC